rnacentral:rRNA from 1 species
GAUGAACGCUAGCGGCAGGCCUAACACAUGCAAGUCGAGGGGCAGCACAGAAACAGCAAUGUUUUGGUGGCGACCGGCGGACGGGUGCGUAACGCGUAUGCAACCUACCUUUAACAGGGGGAUAACGGAGAGAAAUUUUCACUAAUACCCCAUAACAUCGAUCAAGGCAUCUUGAUUGGUUGAAAACUCCGGUGGUUAAAGAUGGGCAUGCGUUGUAUUAGGUAGUUGGUGAGGUAAUGGCUCACCAAGCCUACGAUACAUAGGGGGACUGAGAGGUUAGCCCCCCACACUGGUACUGCGACACGGACCAGACUCCUACGGGAGGCAGCAGUGAGGAAUAUUGGUCAAUGGGGGCAACCCUGAACCAGCCAUGCCGCGUGCAGGAAGACGGCUCUAUGAGUUGUAAACUGCUUUUAAACAGGGAUAAAGCACAGUAUGUAUACUGUGUUGAAGGUACUGUAAGAAUAAGGAUCGGCUAACUCCGUGCCAGCAGCCGCGGUAA